AUUGCUUCUCAGCCUUUUGGCUAAGAUCAAGUGUAGUAUCCGUUCUUAUUAGUUUAAUAUCUGACACAUCCUCUAUCUGAGAACAAUAUAUUAAAUGGAUUUCUGGAGCAGGGAGUUAUAAUAGGUGCUUGAUCUGUCCACCCCACGCAUUAACCUGGCAUUGCAGUACUUCCAGGAAUGGUGCUUCUUUU